CCGUUUGUAUCCGGAUCUGUUUUCUCUCCAUCUCUGUGAACCCUAGCAAUCAGGAGAGCAAUCGGGAGUUUAACUGAAGCCCCUUCCUUUCUCCGCUUUCCGAUCUCUCCGAAUCUCGGUGUGUUAGUUCUCCGAUUCCCGAUCUCUCCUAAUCUCGUUGCCACACUUCACCGAAUCGAGUGUUCUCCUUGGGUUGGCGGAGCCGGAGCUCCGGUAACUCGCCAUUGAUUUCGGUCAGCAAUGCUAUAGAGGCAAGCAGGUACAUGAAUCACAUGAUCUUCUUUACAAGACCAAGGCUAAGGAAAUCCAAGAUUUUAACCACUGUUGGAAAUGGGAUGAAAUCGGAGUAUUGGCAGUGGCUCAGGGCUUCCGUGAUGAACUCCGUGAAGCAGAGUGGAGAGUUGGGAGGUCACCAGUUCACCGUGCUGUUACUGCAGCUGAUGGCACUAUUAAGAUCCUAAGAAGUGCUAGACAGCUUGGAGAUUUUUUGCUUGUAGGAAUAUACAGUGAUCAAACAGUGAGGUGGUGUUUUCUCGGCAAUUCUGCUAUUUUGAGCGGGGUUUGACUGUGGAGCAGGGGAUGGGAUUUUCUUUAUUUACUUUGUUUUCCUAGGAAUUCAAAAGUGGUGUUCUUAGGAUUUAAUUUGUAGUUAUUUUUUUGUUUUUUUGGAGUUUCUGAUGUGAAUCAGAUGUGCAAUAUAUUAAUAAUGCAACAGUCUGUACGUCACACUGUCUCUUUGGACAUAAGAAAUGAUUUAUUUGUUAUUUGCGACUA